rfam:Trichuris muris Edinburgh genomic scaffold, scaffold36
GACCCGUUGGCGCAAUGGUAGUGCGUCUGACUCCAGAUCAGGUUGGGCAUUCAAAUCACUCACGGGUCA